rnacentral:piRNA from 1 species
GACAGGUCUGGUUCAAGGGGGGA